GAAGCUGACAGUUUUAAGUAUAAGAAUGGAUUGAAUAAAUUUAUAAUGGUCAGAGGGUACCGUGACAUUCAGAGGUGUGGAGGAAAGUGGCCAGGUUCCCAAACACUGUGGGUGAACUGGAAAGGACGGGACUGUGCCAGGUGAGGUGAACUGCCUGCAGUGGGGAGGCUCCCUCCUACCCCUGGAAAUGUGGAUGAGAAAAAAGAACACAGAGAUGAACAAACCUCAAGGGAACACGUUCAGGCUGUAAAAAUACUGAGGCAGUACCAAGAUAUCUGGAAGCUCUGUUGGCAUACCCUGUGAGUCAUGGGCGCUGUAUAUUACAUGCUCAAUGCUUAUUCAACAGAAGUAAUUUCUCAUGCGAGACCACGGGAGUCAGAGAAAUUGGCUUUGCACCAAGGUGCCUGAUUCAGCAAGAUGUUACCAGCACGGAGGCUCUGCUGCUUCUAAACACCGGGAGAGGGGAAGCAAUCAUCAUGAAGAGAAAACAGGAGAUCCCUUACGGCUUUGAGCAUGGCAGUGUUUUAACUGUAGCCAUUGUGCGGCUGAAAGAAGUGCCAAAAGGGAAGAAAUGCCAUGGUGUGGCAGCCCUGACCCCGGCCUGUCUUAGAAAGCAACUGUGCAUUGAACAGGAUUGAAUAUCAGCAUGAAAUCAGAC